CUGAAUUUGGAUUGUAAUUAAAUAUUUGACACAGCAUAGGUUUCUGACACAGAAUGAAUGUGGUCUAAGAACAAUAAAAAUUUAUUAAAUUGGACAUUCACCUAUUAUGGUCCAAUAUCCAAAAUCUAAAUACAUGGUUAGAUUCAGCAUAUCAAAGAACCCCAAGAAUUCAAUUUUUGAUGAAAUCAAACAAAGUUUAAUUUUGGACCCUUUUU